rnacentral:rRNA from 14 species
GCUUUUUGGAUGUUGGUGUGCGAGGCAAGAACAGGUCUGUGAUGCCCUCA